CCGCCCUUAGCUUAAGUUAGAGCAGCGGUCUUGUAAGUCGUAGGCGUGAGCUAAUCCUCACAGGGCGGU
rnacentral:tRNA from 1 species